UUUUAUAAUAAACCUGUUUAUAUUGGCGGCAUUUCAUCUAAUUAGAGGAAUUUGUCUUAUAAUCGAUAAACCACGAUAAUUUUCACUUAACUUAAAAAUUUAUAUACCGCCAUCUAAAGAAUUGAUUUUAAUAUAUUUUUCUAAAUAAUUAAAUUAAUAAAAAGUUAGGUCAAGGUGUAAUUUACACUUAAGAAAAGAUGAAUUACAUUAAAAAUUAUUUAAAAUUAAAUAUAGAAAUAUCCUAUAAGUAUAGAAUUUAAAAGUAAUAGUUAAAUAAUAAUUAACUAUGAAUUAGACAACUAAUG
rnacentral:rRNA from 1 species